GGAAUAUUGCGCAAUGGUCGAAAGACUGACGCAGCGACGCCGCGUGUGGGAGGAAGCCUUUUCGGGGGUGUAAACCACUGUCGAGGGGGGAAGAACGGCGAGUAUCAGAAUACGAUACUGAUUG
rnacentral:rRNA from 1 species